rnacentral:rRNA from 1 species
GAUGAACGCUGGCGGCGUGCCUAAUACAUGCAAGUCGAGCGAACAGACGAGGAGCUUGCUCCUCUGACGUUAGCGGUGGACGGGUGAGUAACACGUGGAUAACCUACCUAUAAGACUGGGAUAACUUCGGGAAACCGGAGCUAAUACCGGAUAACAUGUUGAACCGCAUGGUUCAACAGUGAAAGACGGUCUUGCUGUCACUUAUAGAUGGAUCCGCGCCGCAUUAGCUAGUUGGUAAGGUAACGGCUUACCAAGGCAACGAUGCGUAGCCGACCUGAAAGGGUGAUCGGCCACACUGGAACUGCGACACGGUCCAGACUCCUACGGGAGGCAGCAGUAGGGAAUCUUCCGCAAUGGGCGAAAGCCUGACGGAGCAACGCCGCGUGAGUGAAGAAGGUCUUCGGAUCGUAAAACUCUGUUAUUAGGGAAGAACAAAUGUGUAAGUAACUAUGCACGUCUUGACGGUACCUAAUCAGAAAGCCACGGCUAACUACGUGCCAGCCGCCGCUGUAA